rnacentral:tRNA from 13 species
UUCCGACACCGGGAAUCGAACCCGGACCUCCUGGGUGAGAGCCAGGUAUCCUAACCACUAGACCAUGCCGGA